GAUGAACGCUAGCUACAGGCUUAACACAUGCAAGUCGAGGGACCGGCGCACGGGUGAGUAACACGUAUCCAACCUGCCCUUUACUCGGGGAUAGCCUUUCGAAAGAAAGAUUAAUACCCGAUGUAAAGGAGGGGGAUGAGUUCCAUUAGGUUGUGGGUGAGGUAACGGCUCACCAAGCCUUCGCUGGAUAGGUGUUCUGAGAGGAAGGUACCCCACAUUGGAACUGAGACACGGUCCAAACUCGUACGGGAGGCAGAAGUGAGGAAUAUUGUUCAAUGGGCGUUAGCCUGAACCAGCCAAGUAGCGUGAAGGAUGAAGGCUUAUGGGUCUUAAACUUCUUUUAUAUAAGAAUAUGUAUUAUAUGAAUAAGGAUCGGCUAACUCCGUGCCAGCAGCCGCGGUAAUAC
rnacentral:rRNA from 1 species